rnacentral:rRNA from 1 species
AGUGAACGCUGGCGGCAGGCCUAAUACAUGCAAGUCGAACGGCAGCACAGCAGAGCUUGCUCUGUGGGUGGCGAGUGGCGGACGGGUGAGGAAUACAUGGGAAUCUGCCCAGUCGUGGGGGAUAACGUAGGGAAACUUACGCUAAUACCGCAUGCGCCCUUCGGGGGAAAGCCGGGGACCUUCGGGCCUGGCGCGAUUGGAUGAGCCCAUGUCGGAUUAGCUAGUUGGCGGGGUAAUGGCCCACCAAGGCGACGAUCCGUAGCUGGUCUGAGAGGAUGAUCAGCCACACUGGAACUGAGACACGGUCCAGACUCCUACGGGAGGCAGCAGUAGGGAAUAUUGGACAAUGGGCGCAAGCCUGAUCCAGCCAUGCCGCGUGAGUGAAGAAGGCCCUCGGGUUGUAAAGCUCUUUUGUCCGGAAAGAAAAGCGCCGGGUUAAUACCCUGGUGUCCUGACGGUACCGGAAGAAUAAGCACCGGCUAACUUCGUG